rnacentral:ncRNA from 1 species
ACGACCGGAGAGGGGGGCGUAUAAUUUUAAUGUUCCAGUUUUAAUUUUUUUUCAAAAAUUUUGAUUCUGUAUUUAUAAAUCGGAUAUUUAAUCAUUUUAUAUGUAAGGUUUUCUUUUUAUUCUAAAGGAAUAAUUUUCAGUAUUUAAUUUUGGUUUUUAUUGUAAGAUAAAAUCAGGUUUUAAAUUUUAACCGACAAAAAUUGUGCCAGCAGUCGCGGUUACACAAUUGGUUAAAUUGAUUUUUUUUAUUAAUUAUAUUAAUUUUUGUUGUUUUUAAAUAUAAUUUAUUAUUUUAGGUGGAAUUUUUUUAUAUUAUAUAUUUAUUGGUUAAUGAUUUAUAUGUGAAAAUUAUUUAUAGACUAGGAUUAGAUACCCUAUUAUUUUAAUUGUAAAUUUUUUUUAAUAUUAAUAGUUAUGAUCUUUAAAUUAAAAGAAUUUGGCGGUCAUUUAAUCUUUCUAGAGGAACCUGUCCUGUAAUUGAUAAUCCACGAUUGAUUUUACUUUAAUUAUAUUUAUAUAUCGCUGUCAUUGAAUGUUUUAUAAGAUUAUUUUCUUAAAUUUUUAUGAAAAAAAUGUUAGGUCAAGAUGUAGUUAUAUUAAAGAAGAGAUGGGUUACAUUGAAAUUAUUUUUGGAUUAAUAUUUUUUAUUUUAUUAUGAAAUUGGAUUUAGAUGUAAUUUUUUAUAAAUAUAAACUUUGAUUUUAGUUCUAAAUGAUGUACACAUCGCCCGUCACUCCCAUUAUGAGUUGGGAUAAGUCGUAACAAAGUAGGCUUACCGGAAGGUGAGCCUGGUAAGUA